rnacentral:ncRNA from 1 species
CGGAACGCGUUGUUUCGAUGAGGAUUCCCCGAGGUGCUGCCACCUCUCCCGUUAAGUCGGUCGGACCUCAUGGCAACGACCGUCCUG